rnacentral:tRNA from 1 species
UCCCUGGUGGCUUAGUUGGUAAAGAAUCUGCCUGCAAUGCAGGACCCCCAGGUUUGAUCCCUGGGUUGGGAA